rnacentral:tRNA from 1 species
GGGCGAGUGGUGAAAUUGGUAUACACGUCAGACUCAAAAUCUGAUGGCAGCAAUGUCGUGGGGGUUCAAGUCCCCCCUCGCCCACCA